UGUUUUUUUUACUCUCUGGUUUUCUAAUCAUUUCUACCUUAAAUCAGUUUGUGGUCUGAUUUGUUAUAGUUUGUUUUAUCAUCAUGAUUGAAGGAUUCGUUAAAGUGACCCAAAGUCUAGCGGAAUAUGAAAGUGAUCGGGAGCGAGCUCGCAGUAAUAACAUUGACUCAAAACCAUUUAGUAGAGAGCAUCUAUCACAACGGCUAGAGACCAAUUCUUCAUUCGGACCAGACCUCGGGGAAGACGUUUGGAUGUGCGAGAAUGCUGGAUGGCCUCUACUACUUUGAUGAGCCUUCUGAUAGUACUAAAAUAACUCAGUGCUUUAGUAGUAGUAAUAGUUCUAUCUCUGUUAAAGAAUAAAUUAUGCUUUGGCAUUUUAGGCUAGGACAUCUUAGCUUCUUUUAUCUCAAACACCUAUUUCCAAAUUUGUUUAAGAGAGUUGAUUGUUCUCAGUUUCAUUGUGAAAAUUGCAUCUUUGCAAAACAUCAUCGAUCCACAUAUUUGUCAAAACCUUAUAAGUCCUCCAAAUCAUUCUAUUUAAUUCAUAGUGAUGUUUGGGGUCCUUCUAAAGUUUAAACUCAUAGUGGUAGACGGUGGUUUGUAACU